AGAGGGGCACGGGGGAACCAUGGGGUCGCAGAGGUAUGAGAGAAGAGGGCCGCCGCCCGGGAUGGCGUGGGGACCGGGUGGGUAUGUGAGGUGUGGUUUGAGGGGGCACAAAGGCAAGCUUUUUAAAAGAUGCUCCUGCUUCUGUAAUGGCGAGUCCUUUAUUUAAACAGGUGCUUUGGAAACGCUUAUCUACCUUGCCCAUCAAACGCAGGUUCUCCCAGAGGCCAGGGGGUGGAGGGACCAAAUGCCCAGCUCAGCACCAGCGUCUGGGUUCGAAUUCCAGCUGGCCGUGGGACGGGGGGAGAACCAUUUACCCUCCCUGCGCCUCAGUCGGCCCAGCUGUAAAAAGGAGGAAGCAGUAGCCCCUCUUCCGCAGAGCCAUCCUGGGCCUAAGGAACUUGAGCUACGUCAAGUGCUGAAGGGAGCGCCUGGCCCUGCCGUCCCAUUACGGACGAAGGCAAGGCUCUGCCGAGAGAGGCUGGGCGAGCCUGUGUGUCUAAAUAAGUGGUGCACGGACACGAUAAACUGUGAAGAUGGCACAGCCACGACUGAAAUUUGGAAAAUCAAUGAGCUGAGUCUUUCUGUCCAUUGGCUAUGAGCAUCAAGGAAAGCCCAGGAGAUCCCAUCAUUUUCUCCUGUGAACAGCUCGGCAAGGGUCCAAAGCGCCCUCUUGGAAUGAGGCAGCAGGCUCACUGUAAGACACCGGCUCGACUACCCAUGGCCACUGGCGCCACUGGGGACACAUUCUG
rnacentral:lncRNA from 1 species